rnacentral:rRNA from 1 species
CUUGAGGCGGGUAGGGGCCGUCGGACGUUUCGUGGGAGCGGUGAAAUGCGUAGAUAUCGAACGGAACGCCGAAGGUGAAGACAGGCGGCUGGCCCCGACCUGACGCUGAGGCACGAAAGCGUGGGGAUCAAACAGGAUUAGAUACCUGGUAGUCCACGCCGUAAACGAUGCGCACUAGAUCGGUGGGGUUUUGACGCCUUGCUGGUCGCAGAGAAAUUCUUAAGUGCGCCGCCUGGGGAGUACGGUCGCAAGGCUAAAACUCAAAGGAAUUGACGGGGGCUCACACAAGCGGUGGAGCAUGUUGCUUAAUUCGAAGCAACGCGAAGAACCUUACCUGGGUUUGACAUGCACGGAUUAACUUUUGGAAACAAGAGCCACGCCCUCGGGUGGAACGUGCACAGGUGCUGCAUGGCUGUCGUCAGCUCGUGCUGUGAAGUGUCGGGUUAAGUCCCUUAACGAGCGCAACCCCUAUCGCUAGUUGCCAGCGCGUCAUGGCGGGGACUCUAGCGAGACUGCCGGUGUCAAACCGGAGGAAGGUGGGGAUGACGUCAAGUCCUCAUGGCCUUUAUGCCCAGGGAUGCAAACGUGCUACAAUGGCGCGUACAGAGCGAUGCGAGGCCGCGAGGCGGAGCAAAUCGCAAAAAGCGCGCCCCAGUUCGGAUUGCAGUCUGCAACUCGACUGCAUGAAGCCGGAAUCGCUAGUAAUCGCGGAUCAGCUAUGCCGCGGUGAAUACGUUCCUGAGCCUUGUACACACCGCCCGUCAAGUCAUGGAAGCCGGGAGCGCCCGAAGUCGCUGCGAUUCAGCAGUGCCCACGGCGAGUUCGGUGACUGGGACUAAGUCGUAACAAGGUAGCCGUAGGAGAACCUGCGGCUGGAUCACCU